UACGGAGGGGGCUAGCGUUGUUCGGAAUUACUGGGCGUAAAGCGCACGUAGGCGGCUUUGUAAGUUAGAGGUGAAAGCCUGGUGCUCAACACCAGAACUGCCUUUAAGACUGCAUCGCUUGAAUCAUGGAGAGGCGGGUGGAAUUCCGAGUGUAGAGGUGAAAUUCGUAGAUAUUCGGAAGAACACCAGUGGCGAAGGCGACUCACUGGACAUGUAUUGACGCUGAGGUGCGAAAGCGUGGGGAGCAAACAGG
rnacentral:rRNA from 1 species